CGAGACGACGCUGGCGGCGUGCCUAAUACAUGCAAGUAGAACGCUGAAGACUUUAGCUUGCUAAAGUUGGAAGAGUUGCGAACGGGUGAGUAACGCGUAGGUAACCUGCCUACUAGCGGGGGAUAACUAUUGGAAACGAUAGCUAAUACCGCAUAACAGCAUUUAACACAUGUUAGAUGCUUGAAAGGAGCAAUUGCUUCACUAGUAGAUGGACCUGCGUUGUAUUAGCUAGUUGGUGAGGUAACGGCUCACCAAGGCGACGAUACAUAGCCGACCUGAGAGGGUGAUCGGCCACACUGGGACUGAGACACGGCCCAGACUCCUACGGGAGGCAGCAGUGGGGGAUAUUGCACAAUGGAGGAAACUCUGAUGCAGCGACGCCGCGUGAAGUGAAGAAGUAUUUCGGUAUGUAAAGCUCUAUCAGCAGGGAAGAAAGGCUCGAAAGAGAGAUGACGGUACCUGACUAAGAAGCCCCGGCUAACUACGUGCCAGCAGCCGC
rnacentral:rRNA from 1 species